rnacentral:tRNA from 1 species
CCCGUUGAUGCUGGUUUCUGCGGUGAACUCAUAAUCCUUUGGUCCAGGGUUCAAGUCCCUGCGGGCCCACCA